AACCAUACACCGAAGCUACGGGUGCAGACAUUCCACUUAAAAUCACUUCAAUCUCAAGCUUGCGAGCCGUCAGGCGAGCAAAGCCCUCUCUCACGUUGAGAGUGGAGCAGCAGGCAACACAAGUGCUGAUUGGGAAUAGAGUGAUGUCUUUGUACGAAGUACAAAGAUAUCUUGGUGUGGCAACGCCACAACAAGUGAUUUUAAGGGAAUGUCUGUGCGGUAGAGGAGCGUUGUGUAAGCCUGUGAAGGUGAGUUGAGAAGCUUGCUGGAGGUAUCACAAGUGCGAAUGCUGACAUGAGUAACGAUAAUGCGGGUGAAAACCCCGCACGCCGAAAGACCAAGGUUUCCUGCGCCACGUUAAUCGACGCAGGGUGAGUCGGCCCCUAAGACGAGGCUGAAGAGCGUAGUCGAUGGGAAACGGGUUAAUAUUCCCGUACUUCUGGUUAUUGCGAUGGAGAGACGGAGAAGGUUAGGCCAUCAGGGCGUUGGUUGUCCCUGUUUAAGGUGGUAGGCAGAGUACUUAGGCAAAUCCGGGUACUUAAUGCCGAGAGCUGAUGACGAGCGUUCUUUAGAAUGCGAAGUGGUUGAUACCAUGCUUCCAGGAAAAUCUUCUAAGCUUCAGAUAACCAGGAACCGUACUGUAAACCGACACAGGUGGUCGGGUAGAGAAUACCAAGGCGCUUGAGAGAACUCGGGUGAAGGAACUAGGCAAAAUGGCACCGUAACUUCGGGAGAAGGUGCGCCGGUUGGGGUGAAGUAUUUACUACGUAAGCUCCGACUGGUCGAAGAUACCAGGCCGCUGCAACUGUUUAUUAAAAACACAGGACUCUGCAAACUCGAAAGAGGACGUAUAGGGUCUGACGCCUGCCCGGUGCCGGAAGGUUAAUUGAUGGGGUUAGCGCAAGCGAAGCUCUUGAUCGAAGCCCCGGUAAACGGCGGCCGUAACUAUAACGGUCCUAAGGUAGCGAAAUUCCUUGUCGGGUAAGUUCCGACCUGCACGAAUGGCGUAAUGAUGGCGGCGCUGUCUCCACCCGAGACUCAGUGAAAUUGAAAUCGCUGUGAAGAUGCAGUGUAUCCGCGGCAAGACGGAAAGACCCCGUGAACCUUUACUAUAGCUUUGCACUGGACUUUGAAGUUGUUUGUGUAGGAUAGGUGGGAGGCUUUGAAGCGUGGACGCCAGUUCGCGUGGAGCCAUCCUUGAAAUACCACCCUGGCAACUUUGAGGUUCUAACCCAGGCCCGUUAUCCGGGUCGGAGACAGUGUAUGGUGGGUAGUUUGACUGGGGCGGUCUCCUCCUAAAGAGUAACGGAGGAGUACGAAGGUGCGCUCAGACCGGUCGGAAAUCGGUCGCAGAGUAUAAAGGCAAAAGCGCGCUUGACUGCGAGACCCACAAGUCGAGCAGGUACGAAAGUAGGUCUUAGUGAUCCGGUGGUUCUGUAUGGAAGGGCCAUCGCUCAACGGAUAAAAGGUACUCCGGGGAUAACAGGCUGAUACCGCCCAAGAGUUCAUAUCGACGGCGGUGUUUGGCACCUCGAUGUCGGCUCAUCACAUCCUGGGGCUGAAGCCGGUCCCAAGGGUAUGGCUGUUCGCCAUUUAAAGUGGUACGCGAGCUGGGUUUAGAACGUCGUGAGACAGUUCGGUCCCUAUCUGUCGUGGACGUUUGAGAUUUGAGAGGGGCUGCUCCUAGUACGAGAGGACCGGAGUGGACGAACCUCUGGUGUUCCGGUUGUCACGCCCGUGGCACUGCCGGGUAGCUAAGUUCGGAAAUGAUAAGCGCUGAAAGCAUCUAAGCGCGAAGCAUGCCUCAAGAUGAGAUCUCACUGGAGCUUUAAGCUCCCUGAAGGGCCCUUGAAGACUACAAGGUUGAUAGGCUGGGUGUGUAAGCGUUGU
rnacentral:rRNA from 1 species